rnacentral:sRNA from 1 species
UGAAUUGGUAAAGUGUAUAACACCUGUGA